CUCUGUGGGUUUCUCUGCUAAACUGACAUCAGUAGUUCAAGGUAGUAACUUCUCUACAGGUUCGUUUUUAACCUUGACAGGAUGAACAGAGGAAAAAAAACUAGAGCUCCAGUUCAUGGUGAGCACCCUUUCAAAUCACAAGCAAAGGUGGUGGUGUAAAGGAAAAAAAAAUGAUGAACCACAAACCUGUUUUUUCAAGCUUGGGGCUGUGAACUGUAAAAUCUA